rnacentral:rRNA from 1 species
GACGUAGGGCGCGAGCGUUGUCCGGAUUUAUUGGGCGUAAAGAGCUCGUAGGCGGCUUGUUGCGUCGACCGUGAAAACCCGGGGCUCAACUUCGAGCUUGCGGUCGAUACGGGCGGGCUAGAGUUCGGUAGGGGAGACUGGAAUUCCUGGUGUAGCGGUGAAAUGCGCAGAUAUCAGGAGGAACACCGGUGGCGAAGGCGGGUCUCUGGGCCGAUACUGACGCUGAGGAGCGAAAGCGUGGGGAGCGAACAGG